rnacentral:rRNA from 1 species
UCGAACGAAAUCUUUAGGGAUUGAGUGGCGGACGGGUGAGUAACGCGUGAGAAUCUGCCUCUAGAAUGGGGACAACAGUUGGAAACGACUGCUAAUACCCAAUGAGCCGAAAGGUAAAAGAUUUAUCGUCUAGAGAGGAGCUCGCGUCCGAUUAGUUAGUUGGUGAGGUAAAGGCUCACCAAGACGGCGAUCGGUAGCUGGUCUGAGAGGAUGAGCAGCCACACUGGGACUGAGACACGGCCCAGACUCCUACGGGAGGCAGCAGUGGGGAAUCUUGGACAAUGGGCGCAAGCCUGAUCCAGCCAUGCCGCGUGAGUGACGAAGGCCUUAGGGUCGUAAAGCUCUUUCAACUGUGAAGAUAAUGACGGUAGCAGUAGAAGAAACCCCGGCUAACUCCGUGCCAGCAGCCGCGGUAAUACGGAGGGGGUUAGCGUUGUUCGGAAUUACUGGGCGUAAAGCGCGCGUAGGUGGUCUGUUAAGCGGAAUGUGAAAGCCCCGGGCUCAACCUGGGAACUGCAUUGCGAACUGGCAGACUAGAGUACAGUAGAGGGUAGUGGAAUUUCCUGUGUAGCGGUGAAAUGCGUAGAGAUGGGAAGGAACAUCAGUGGCGAAGGCGACUGCCUGGACUGAUACUGACACUGA